rnacentral:snRNA from 1 species
AUCAAUUUCUCAGCCUUCUGGCUAAGAGAGGUGAAAAAAUUAUCUAGUAUCUGUUCUUAUCAGUUUAAUAUUUGAUAUGUCCUUUAUUUGAGGACUGUAUAUUAAAUUGAUUUUUGAAACAGGGGGAUGGAAUAGGCACUUGCUCUGUCCACCCCAUGCAUUGACCUGGUAUUGCAGUGCCUCCAGGACUGGUAGGAUCCAG